GGCGUGAGGGGGGAGCGGCAUGGAGGGCGUGAGGAGGUGUCUCCUUGGAAGUGCAGGCUGUGGAUGCUCAGCCCUUCUCACGGGAGAAGUGCACGGAGACCUUUGCAAGUUCUGACAGCAGAGACAGAGCUGGCCCUGGCACCCCCUGGACACAAAGUCAGGGAAUAUCUAACAGUCCCAAGCCUCAGCUCUGGAGUACAAAGCUAGCAGAAUCCUUCAAGCUGUCACUGAUCCAAAACUCCCUGCAAAGUAGCACUGUCAGCAUGGAAAGCUAAUGUUACAACAAGUUCUUUCAGCAGAGCAGAAAGGGGUUCUAACAGAGAAAAGGGCAGAUUCAAUAAGAUCAACACAGACAAACACCCGAGAAAUGAGUUCUGAAGGAUCCUGAAGCAACAGGAGCAUUAGUGGAACUGGUUAAAGGAAAUUCGAAGGAGCAGAACUAAGUCCUUGGAAAAUGCACGUUUGCACGCUUUAACAGCCCUGAAAGGCUCUCAAAAGAAAUGAAUACAAACACAGUGAGCCAAAACUCAAAAGCAAUACCCUGAAAAAACUGUAAAAAACCCUGCAAACUGGCAUCACCAAGAGAUAAAGGAAGUUAAUGGAAUUAUCAGUGAGAAAGACCAGCCCAGCAUGGGAAGAAAAUUAAGAGUCCAUCAUAUUUUCCCGAAGUGUAGUGCUGAGAGGAUACAAAACCCCUCAACUUUUGCUGCUGAGAUGCAACUUACAGCUCCAGACUUGGCCAGAACCCUGGAAUUUCAUCCCAGUGGCACUGUGGGCUCUGUGGGCUCACAGGGGAUGAGUUCUGGCUGGACAGGCAGCCUGCACCAGAACAGCUCGGGGGAAAAAGGGGUCUGGGAAUGCUGCACUUCCUUUAGAGUUAGAAGUGGGAAACCAAGGGGAAAAUACAUCAGCUUUCAGACCAACCUGGUGACAGAAAUGUGAGCAAAUAUCUAGCACUAUUUUAGCUGUGAACCUUAAAGGAUCAAGGCUUGACAUCUGAGUAAAAAUCGUGGGAACUUUAAGAGCAGGGCAGCAAAGUUCUUUGCAGCCAUAUGGAGAAGACUGAAUCUCAGGGCAGUUCACUGACAUGGAACUUAUUUCACAUAACAGAGAGCCUGAAACACCAGGUUACCUCAGUGAAACCUGCUACAAGCUGACUCAGCCAGGGAGCUGAGUUCUGCCUCAGCAAUGUAGGGAUUCACACAAAAACCUUCACAGGUCACAGGGAAUGAGCAGCUCAUCAGUAACAUUCAUCAGCCUGGUCAAUCUUCACCAGGAUGAACAAGGCAUUUUGGAGUGCCUGGUUUGGUUUUUUUUUGUCUUUUGGAACACGUUCACCCUCUUGAAUUAAUGCACAACAGCCUGAGGGACCUGCCAAGUGUACCUGAAUACAAGUUGGACUUUAAGAAGAAAAGUCCUCUGGAACAUUAUGUACAGGGAAGGAGUGACAGAAAUCACUGUACUGUAUCCUGGAAAAUCAGAUCCUACAAGGUGUUUUGCACAGCUGAACAACAGCCAGAGGACACAGAUCCUCCAAAUUCUGGGAUCAGAAAGAUCAGUGCACUCCUUGAAGGGACAGAGGAAAAAGGAUCAGAAAGCAGAGAUGUUACCCUCACUAAGACCACACUGCCAGAAAACCACAUGCAUUUCUGAUGCUUUUCAUUAAAAAAAUGUAAGGCAGCAACACAAAUCUGAGAAGAUCUAGAACAAGAAAUCUACAAACCUAAUCUAAAUUAAUCAUCAGUUCAUAUAAAGGCAGGAACAAUUGUCUGGAGAACUUAAAUACAAGACUCCUAAAAUUUAGCUAAAACAGGCAUAAAAAGGACAACAUAGUUCAAAGUCAGAGUUGGUAAAAUGUAGAUUGGAAAUAAAAUACAACUCCACCCUCCCAAGCAAGUGGAAAACUUUCCAUCAGUUUAAGUCUUUCAUGGAUACUGUUGUUCAGCUACAAUGAACUAAGUGAUGCUCACAUGCAGAGGGGAAAUUAUUCCGCUCCCUACAAGUUUUGUCAUUCCCUGGUAGAAUGAAAUUCAAAGAUUAACAGAUUUCAGGCUCAGAGGAAUUCUUCAGCCUCUUGUUUGAACUGCAACACUGCUCAUACCUACAGGACAAUGGAAUAAUUCAGGCAAGAUCUUAACACACAGAAAAGUUGCAGCAACAACUUGAGUGGGGCAUUUUUGGGAAUAUGAAAAUGAAUAUUUUCCUUCACGAUCCUGGGAUUUCUCUUGAAUAAGUCUGAGCAGCGCAGUGUGCUCAUCUUCUGAGGGCUCCCAGGAAGAGCACAAGCAUGGAAAGGUGAGUCCAGAUCCUGGAGGAACUUCAGUCACUUCCUGUGAAAGCUGGGACACUUGAGUUCUGGAAAUUCUCUUUCUGCAGCUGAAGAAGAGGAGCUGCUCAGGGAGCACCUCCACCACCAGCACGGCUCAGCUGAGCAGGAUUCACUUUAUGAAUGAGAAGCACAAAGGGCUGAGUAUCCUCUUUCUUCCUUACCCCAUUUCCAUUAACCUAACUCCAGCCAUCUCAGGGUGCCACAAAACCCCUGCUCUCUCAAAGGUGAGGAAAGAGUUAAAAUCCAAAGGGUCCCACAACUGAAGAAAGUUUCAAACCUGGCUUAUAUCAGUUCUUGUUUAUGGUGCACAUUCCCUCCCUCCUGUCAUGACCCUCUGACACUGUGCUGCCUUUGCGUCAGUCUGGGAAAAGUGCUUGUAUAUGUUUAAAAUAUUGUACAGAUACUGGGGAAUUAGGGCUAUAAACCACCCAAUAUUCCACUGAUUGGGCAGGUGGUGAAACCACAGAGCAGCUUCUCACUUUCUCAGACAUCUCAAGGGAUUUGCAUUUCUCUCUUCACUCCAAUUUUUAGUGUCAAUAGACUGUUUUCUCUUUAUUCCCAAGCUUUGGAAAGCUUUUCCUUUACAGCAAAUACAGGUCUUUAUUUUUGCAUCUGGUUUUAUUCUGUAAGGGUGGCUCCCUUUCCCAAUUCAGAGUGUGUUUAGGGCUUAUCACUGGUCUUAUCACACAAGGCACCAGUAAGACACCCCAGUGAUGUAAGCCACUUCCUCUGGGAGCAUAUGGGAACUGAAGGCACCACAUUCCAGUCCCUGUGCUUCCCCCACCCCCACGGGGACACCUUUUUUCCUUGUUCUCAAGUACCUUCCUACCCGUGCCGAGCAGAACAAAUAAAUCCCAUGAACGCCCUAUAAAAACAUAAAACUAUUGAGGGGAAGAGCUCUGAGUAUACCAGGAAAACAUUCACUCAGGGGUUACAGACUCAUUUCUGCAGAUUAUCAGAGGAUAAGAGCAGAUGUCUAAUACAGGGACUUCCUAAAGUUGCAGUUAAUUUGCAUUUAAAUAUAUUUUCAUCUCAAUAUAAAAAUGAAAAAACAACCCCAAGCAGAGUUAAACCAUUCUGCUCCCACACCCCUAAAGCCACUUCACCCCGAGCUGAGUGUGGGUAUCUUUCUGUAAGGAUUCCAUGAUUCCAGGAAGUUCAGUCACAAUGGAAGCCAUUUAGAAGCACUACAUUCAGAAUCAUGUUCUUAAAACUCAUAAAUGGUGAAAACAUCAAUUUCUUGCAUUUUAUCUGUCAUAUUUGCCUAUUUCAGACAGAUGUAUUUAAUAGCAUGGUAAGGCUUCUGUCUUUAUAAUGCUGCACUCUCAGCACAGAGCAUUUCUAUCUUUAGGUAUUUCAGGCAUUUUUUAGUGCAUAUCACACAUUUUUACCCCAAGUCCCCAUGUCAAAUUGCAAACACAUGACAUAUUUCGUAUUUCCUCUGCUGUCCAUCACCCUGCUAAUGCCUGCAUGGAGCACUUUGUCUUGUUUGGGAUCCCUUUAGCCAUAACUGUGAUACCUCAUCACAAAUGAUCCAUUUCUACUGAAAACAGAAUGUUUUUCUUUCCCACAAUUCAGUGAUUUAUCCUGUUUGUUUAACAUCCUUGAAAAAUUCCAGGAAGACAUAAAAAGUUCUGUUCAAUUCUUUUUUCUUUGUUACUCUGAAAAAUCACCUACAAGAAGUUAGAAACUGCAGCAUCAGUCAAAAGGUCAAUUUAACAAAGAGUUUGCAAGUUUACUUUAUACUUCAGAAAUCACAGAAAGUAUCAUGGUUUUGUGACAUUGUGAUUUUUAGGGAAGCCAAAGCUCUUCAUCUCAUUCAUUCUGUGCUGAGGCUCCCCUAUCCCUGAGAGCAGCCAGGAAUUUCACAGACACUGAGCCCCACAAAAAUCAACAAUCCCAACAAGAACCCGACCUGGAAUAUUCAAAUUUCUCAGAGAGAUCUGUGCAUCUGCCAAACAAAAAAUUGCACCAUACUAAAAUAUAGUUAUUUUGUUUUUCCGGAUGUUUUAGCUUGGCCACAGUAAAAAAGCAGGACAACUUGCAAAUAUUUAACUCUUUCUACUGGAUUAACUUCCCUACACAAACACAAAAUCAUCUUCAAUCUUCUACUAAUGUUUUCACCUCCCUUCCACUGCAGAACAACCUCCCACUUAUUUUUUUCUGAAAGAGCACCUUAAUUACACUUGAAGUAUAAUUUAUUAUACACCUCCCCAGCAUCUUCUUUGAUAGGAGUGUGAAGACAGCAGCAUCAGCAUGGAGGCAUUAUUUAAUUAGAAUUACUAAAAUCAGUGUGGGAGUGUCUGUAGUGCAGGAGUGAUGCAUCAUUCCUCCCAAGCACAUCCAGAGGACAAAUAAAAAGGAGACCAACCAAAACAUAAUUAUACUUUUUCAGAUAUAUUAAGCCUACUGUGCCACCAGCUUACACAGCUACUCUUUUAAAACAGAAGAGAAUUACAAGGUACUUCAUGAUUUUAACCAAAGCCAGCCCACAGAAUGCCACAAAACGUUACAGAGCUUAGGAUGUAACACAAGAAGAAAGUCAGGAUGGCUGUACUGAAGUGAUGCCACUGCUUUUCCAGAGAUGAGCUGCUCCCCAAAAAGCAACUGCCCUGAAGUGCCAGAUACUCAUGACCCAGUGUUUUCGUCCUUAAAAUCCAAUUAUGUUACAUUCACAACAAACCAUCCUGGUCUGUGACUGCUCUACACAACACCAGGCAUCCUUGUCAGCAAUGACGGCACAAACCUCUGUCUGCACACACAUGAAACAGGGAGCCACCACAUUCUGACCCCACAGCAGCAACAGCUUCACUUCCAGCUGAAUUCAGCCACCUUUAACUUCCACCUGUGGAGCUCUGUAACUUGAGGGCACUGUGCAGCUCCAGGAGGUUCCUGGGAUAAACAGGAUGGGUUUAGAUUUCCCUGUAUGACUGUGCAAACCUACUGGCACUAUUUCGGUUUCUCUCAGGUUAUCUCCUUAGUCAAUCACUCUGUGCAGAAACUGAAAAAUGAAACAAGUCUUGUUACAUCUUUCCAAUACUGGUCUCUUAUUCCACCCACAGACCUACAGUAUCUGUGUCUAUUUUCUGCCAAAUAAGUUCACCAAAUCUCUCAUUACACAGGUUUACUAUAACUAAAAAUUAUCUAGUGGCUCCUUGCUGACAUGCCAAUCACACAUCCACAUCAUUUUGCAAGGAUUAAUUUCCAAACUCAAGCAGUUCCAGCACCAACUUCACUAAUUGCUACAGGAGGGACACCACUGCCUUUGGCUGCACGUUCUGACAUAUCCAAGGGUCUGCACUGCUGGGGUUUAGUUGGACUAAACAGCAAAAAUGCUGCUCCUCAGAGAGCUUCUCCCUCUGGCACAAUCAGCACCUUCUGCUCUUGAAGUGUUACACUUAAACGUGUUGUUUUCAUUACUACAUGUUCAGCUGAUGAGAAAUAAUAUCAACCUUCUCCUUUCAGGGGGAAAGGAACUGAACUUCACAUCUGAUUUAAAGAAAGCACUGCCUUUACAUCCUGAAGAGUUCUCACCACUCAACUCCCCACUCGAGCUCAGCCUCCUUGAUAACGCAAAACUGCCUUGUCACAAGUCAGACUUUGGGGAUGACACUUCCACAGAACCAUCCCGCGGCUGAGAUGACACGGAAAACCUAUGAAUUAUCGCUAAGCGGGUUAGGAAAACAAAGAGGUGCGAGGCUGGAGCUGCAGGAUGCCCAGCUCCAGGACGCUGGAUUUCAUGUGGCACAGGACGGCAGGUGCGGACAGACGGCUCUGCUCGGCUCUGCUCGGGCAGCGGCCCCAGCUCCGGAACGCGGCUUAAUUCCACCACAAAGCGCUCCACGCCUGCGAACACCGCCCGGGCGCCCAGCGGAGCCGCCCCGGCUGCCCUGCCCGGGGCUGCGGGCACCGCCAGCCCUGGGGGUC